rnacentral:rRNA from 1 species
GACAGAGGGGGCAAGCGUUGCUCGGAAUCACUGGGCGUAAAGGGCGCGUAGGCGGGCUGGCAAGUCAGUCGUGAAAUCUCUCGGCUCAACCGAGAAACGUCGGCUGAUACUGCCGCUCUUGAGGGAUGCAGAGGAGACUGGAAUUCCCGGUGUAGCGGUGAAAUGUGUAGAGAUCGGGAGGAACACCGGUGGCGAAGGCGGGUCUCUGGGCAUCUCCUGACGCUGAGGCGCGAAAGCGUGGGGAGCAAACGGG